AUGCCUUCCACAUGCAUUUACCCAGUUAAAACACAUAGAGGAGCAUAAUGGCAGAGCUGUUCAUAUACUGCAAAUCCCAUGGGUUAGCUUUAGUAAUUUCAGUAAUAAAUACACAUACCUUAUUUACACCGUCACUACCUCACGCUGUGUGAGAACACCAAAAUGAAUGUUUCUGUUUUCUCACAUUUCACUGAAGGGCAGAAGGAACUUUCAGACUGUGUCCUGCAAGACAGGCCUAGGUGUAACCGCAGCCCCAGCACACCAAGGUCCUGGAGAAGAGUACCAAGCAGCUGGAUGCAAACCGGUUUGCAGGUCCAAGACAAAAGGAUGGGAGAGAAAGAAGAAAAAAUCCACAAGAGACAACAGGAAUCACAAGCUCCAGCUUGCCAGAUGACCUGUGUUUGAUGUGUAUUACCACCGUCCUCCUCAAUAACCUCUUUCCAAUCAUAUCACUUCCUGGGAGAUGAAGAUCUUUCUAAUUAAUCAGCAAGUACGUUAAACUAAACAGUUUCUGCUCUGGUACAUUGCAGUUACAAGGAAACAGGUGGGAGAAGCACAGAGCUGUGAUUUAUUAGUGUGACAGAAUGAAGGAAAGAUUUACAUUAUAAGCUUUUUGAAAAACUGGAUGGUAAAUUUCCCUCUCCACCUCUAACUAGCCUACCAAGAUUUGGAAAGCAGAAGCCACUGUACUAAGAAUGGUCUGGGAAACAUGCAUGGCAGCUGGUAUAAACUAGACUUUUGCAAGUCUUAGUGUUAAAAUUUGUGCCAAUGUUUAUCGUUGGGUUUAACCUUCAUACUCCUCUACAUUACAUUUUUUCCCUAUUCUGCCUCUGUACAAAGCCUGAAACUGCCUUAGUUGAAUCCCACAUGCAAAAAUUACAGGACAUUGAAAGCCUAUAGGAAAAAAACCAACUCACUGCUGCCAGAGUAGAGGGCAAAUUCAGGAUAUCCUCACUACUGAGUGACUGCCAGCUGCCACUGUCUCCUUUGGAGGCUACAGGCAGCUAAGAGAACAGAGGAUCCUUCAAGCUCCUGCACUUUCUGGUAGUGGCUG
rnacentral:lncRNA from 1 species